AGUGAACGCUGGCGGUAGGCCUAACACAUGCAAGUCGAACGGCAGCACAGUAAGAGCUUGCUCUUACGGGUGGCGAGUGGCGGACGGGUGAGGAAUACAUCGGGAUCUACUUUUUCGUGGGGGAUAACGUAGGGAAACUUACGCUAAUACCGCAUACGACCUACGGGUGAAAGCAGGGGAUCUUCGGACCUUGCGCGAUUGAAUGAGCCGAUGUCGGAUUAGCUAGUUGGCGGGGUAAAGGCCCACCAAGGCGACGAUCCGUAGCUGGUCUGAGAGGAUGAUCAGCCACACUGGAACUGGGACACGGUCCAGACUCCUACGGGAGGCAGCAGUGGGGAAUAUUGGGCAAUGGGCGCAAGCCUGAUCCAGCCAUACCGCGUGGGUUAAGAAGGCCUUCGGGUUGUAAAGCCCUUUUGUUGGGAAAGAAAAGCAGCAGGUUAAUACCCCGCUGUUCUGACGGUACCCAAAGAAUAAGCACCGGCUAACUUCGUG
rnacentral:rRNA from 1 species